rnacentral:sRNA from 1 species
GUCAAGAUGGCGGCGUCUGUAUUAAACACCGUGCUGAGGCGGCUUCCUAUGCUAUCUCUCUUCCGAGGUUCUCACAGAGUUCAGGUUCCCCUCCAGACUCUUUGCACCAAAGCUCCCUCUGAGGAAGAUUCUUUGUCCUCAGUUCCCAUUUCUCCUUAUAAGGAUGAGCCCUGGAAAUAUCUGGAAUCAGAAGGUACCUCUAAAGGGGGAAAGGGAGGGUCAGAUAGGAUUUGAGAUAAGUGGACAGAGCCACCCACUACACUCCCACCCAGGAAUAACUUGUAUGAUCUUUCAUUUCAGAAUACCAGGAGCGAUAUGGUUCUCGCCCCGUCUGGGCUGACUACCGCCGCAACCACAAGGGUGGUGUACCCCCACAGCGGACUCGGAAGACAUGUAUUCGUCGGAAUAAAGUUGUUGGGAAUCCCUGCCCCAUCUGUCGAGAUCACAAGUUGCAUGUUGACUUUAGGAACGUGAAGCUCUUGGAGCAAUUUGUCUGCGCCCACACGGGUAUCAUCUUCCAUGCUCCAUACACAGGAGUCUGUGUGAAGCAGCACAAGCGGUUGACCCAGGCCAUCCAGAAAGCCAGGGAUCAUGGUCUCCUCAUUUACCACAUCCCCCAGGUUGAACCACGGGACCUUGACUUCAGUACCUCUCAUGGGGCUGUGAGUGCUACUCCGCCAGCCCCCACCCUGGUCUCAGGUGACCCCUGGUACCCAUGGUACAACUGGAAACAGCCACCGGAGAGAGAACUGUCUCGCCUUCGCCGGCUUUACCAGGGUCAUCUCCGAGAAGAGAGUGGCCCCCCACCUGAGUCAAUGCCCAAGAUGCCCCCUAGAACACCAGCGGAAGCCUCCUCCACUGGGCAGACAGGCCCUCAGAGUGCUCUGUAGGAGCUGUAGACUGGGAAGAGAGGCCAGGCGUGGUGGCUCACUCCUGUAAUCCCAGCACUUUGGGAAGCCAAGGUGGGCUGAUCACUUGAUCCCAGGAGUUUGAGACCAGCCUGGGCACCAUGGUGAAACCUUGUCUUUACCAAAAAAUACAAAAAUUAGCUGGGUGUGGUGGUGCACACCUGUAGUCUCAACUAUUGGGGAGGCUAAGGUAGGAUCACUUGAUCCCAGGAGGCGGAGGUUGCAGCGAGUUGCAGUCGCACCCCUGCACUCCAGCCUGGGUGACAGCUAGACCCUGUCUCAAAAAAAAAAAAAAAAAAGACUGGGAAGAGAGCUAGAGGGACUAGGAGAUAAUGUGUAUGUAGGUUUAUGUGAUGGGAUAUCACCCUGAAGAGUUGUGUCUUUUGUGGCCAAUGACAAAUCCAGGAAAUGAAUGUUGCUGAUAGGGAUAAAUCUUGAGGCCGAGGGCGGGCGGUACAGAUGUGUAUGGGAAACCCCAACCCCUAUAUAUUGUAAAUAGAUGGGCUGGGCUAAACAUUGUUGCCGUUUCAUACUUCUACCAACUCAGCUUUUACACAAUAAAGCUCUACUGUCUCUGGUUUGC